rnacentral:rRNA from 1 species
CCAUUAGCUAGUUGGUGAGGUAACGGCUCACCAAGGCCACGAUGGGUAGCCGGCCUGAGAGGGUGUACGGCCACACUGGCACUGAGACAAGGGCCAGUCCCCUAUGGGAGGCGCAGGCGGGAAUAGUUCACAAUGGGCGAAAGCCUGAUGACGCGACGCCGCGUGAGCGAAGAAGACCUUCGGGUUGUAAAGCUCUGUCAGGAGGGAAGAAGGCUCUACGGGUCAAUAGCCCGUGGGAUUGACGGUACCUCCAGAGGAAGCCCCGGCUAAAUACGUGCCAGCAGCCGCGGUAAUACGUAUGGGGCAAGCGUUGUCCGGAUUUACUGGGCGUAAAGGGCGCGUAGGCGGUUUGUUAAGUCGAAGGUGAAAUCCUCGGGCUCAACUCGAGAAUUGCCUUCGAUACUGGCAAACUAGAGUGGCGGAGAGGAAAGCGGAACUCUUGGUGUAACGGUGGAAUGUGUAGAUAUCAAGAGGAACACCGGUGGCGAAGGCGGCUUUCUGGACGCACACUGACGCUCAGGCGCGAAAGCGUGGGUAGCAAACAGGAUUAGAUACCCUGGUAGUCCACGCCAUAAACGAUGGGUACUAGGUGUCGGGGGUAUCGACCCCUCCGGUGCCGCAGUUAACGCACUAAGUACCCCGCCUGGGGAUUAUGGUCGCAAGGCUGAAACUCAAAGGAAUUGACGGGGCCCCGCACAAGCGGUGGAGCAUGUGGUUUAAUUCGACGCAACGCGAAGAACCUUACCUGGGCUUGACAUGCUUGGGACAGCGCUGGAAACAGCGUCUCUCCUUCGGGAGCCCUUGCACAGGUGCUGCAUGGCUGUCGUCAGCUCGUGUCGUGAGAUGUUGGGUUAAGUCCCGCAACGAGCGCAACCCUCGUUACUAGUUGCCAUCAGUUCGGCUGGGCACUCUAGUGAGACUGCCGGUGAUAAACCGGAGGAAGGUGAGGAUGAUGUCAAGUCAUCAUGGCCCCUACGCCCAGGGCUACACACGUGCUACAAUGGUCGGCACAAAGGGUCGCUAAGCCGCGAGGUGGAGCUAAUCCCAAAAAGCCGGCCUCAGUUCGGAUUGGAGUCUGCAACCCGACUCCAUGAAGGCGGAAUCGCUAGUAAUCGCGGAUCAGCAUGCCGCGGUGAAUA